rnacentral:lncRNA from 1 species
CAGGUUACGAUAUAGAGCUGGUUGCUAAGCUCUGUCUCAACCUUAUUUUCCUCUUUAAAAUUAUCACCGUUAAUGUUAACAUUAAGAUAUAAAUCCCUCUCUUUGCCAGUUUCAACUAGCAUCCUUUUUCUAUCUUGACUCUUACACUUGUGUCUUGAUUAUGCCAUAGGUACGCAUACAGGAAGAAGACGAAAUCAACUACAGUGACAGCGAUAGCGAUGAUAAUGUGACGGUCAUUAUUGGCAGCAUAAAAAGAAACCCCUCCUUGUUUAUGGAGAAGCUCCCAAAUCUAAACUCGCAAACAGGUGAAGACUUUGAAACAUCUUCAUCAGGUACCUUACUCCUUAUUUAUAUUGUUAUUGAAGUUAUAUGUUGCAUCCUUG